rnacentral:rRNA from 1 species
CAGCAGCACGGUAAUACAGAGGGUGCGAGCGUUAAUCGGAUUUACUGGGCGUAAAGCGUGCGUAGGCGGCUUCUUAAGUCGGAUGUGAAAUCCCUGAGCUUAACUUAGGAAUUGCAUUCGAUACUGGGAAGCUAGAGUAUGGGAGAGGAUGGUAGAAUUCCAGGUGUAGCGGUGAAAUGCGUAGAGAUCUGGAGGAAUACCGAUGGCGAAGGCAGCCAUCUGGCCUAAUACUGACGCUGAGGUACGAAAGCAUGGGGAGCAAACAGGAUUAGAUACCCGCGUAGUCCCUGUCUCUUAUACA